ACAGGUGCUGCAUGGCUGUCGUCAGCUCGUGCCGUGAGGUGUAGGGUUAAGUCCCGCAACGAGCGCAACCCUUGUCUUUAAUUGCCAUCAUUGAGUUGGGCACUUUAAAGAGACUGCCGGUGUUAAACCGGAGGAAGGUGGGAUGACGUCAAGUCCUCAUGGCCUUUAUGCCCAGGGCUACACACGUGCUACAAUGGUCGGUACAGAAGGAAGCGAAGUCGUGAGAUGGAGCAGAUCCGAGAAAGCCGAAUCUCAGUUCGGAUUGGAGUCUGCAACUCGACUGCGUGAAGUCGGAAUCGCUAGUAAUCGUGGAUCAGCAUGUCACGGUGAAUACGUUCCCGGGUCUU
rnacentral:rRNA from 1 species